rnacentral:tRNA from 1 species
GGUACUAUGGCCGAGUGGUCUAAGGCGAUAGAUUUAAGCCCCAUUACCGUGAGGUGCCUGUGUUCAAACCCCAGUGGUACCA